UACGGGAGGCAGCAGUGGGGAAUAUUGCACAAUGGGCGCAAGCCUGAUGCAGCCAUGCCGCGUGUAUGAAGAAGGCCUUCGGGUUGUAAAGUACUUUCAGUCGUGAGGAAGGUGUUAAGGUUAAUAACCUUAGCAAUUGACGUUAGCGACAGAAGAAGCACCGGCUAACUCCGUGCCAGCAGCCGCGGUAAUACGGAGGGUGCGAGCGUUAAUCGGAAUUACUGGGCGUAAAGGGCACGCAGGCGGUUAAUUAAGUUGGAUGUGAAAUCCCCGGGCUUAACCUGGGAAUGGCAUUCAAGACUGGUUAGCUAGAGUCUUGUAGAGGGGGUAGAAUUCCAUGUGUAGCGGUGAAAUGCGUAGAGAUGUGGAGGAAUACCGGGUGGCGAAGGCGGCCCCUGGGACAAAGGCUGACGCUCAUGUGCGAAAGCGUGGGGAGCGAAACAGGGAUUAGA
rnacentral:rRNA from 1 species